rnacentral:sRNA from 12 species
CCUUGGGAGUGCUAAAACAAUACAAGUAGAGGUUUGCCUCCAAAGUAAGCACACUGAAUAAGGAA